GGGGUACUCGAGCGGCGAACGGGUGAGUAACACGUGAGUAAUCUGCCCUGCGCUCUGGGAUAGCCACCGGAAACGGUGAUUAAUACCGGAUAGGACCACUUCACGCAUGUGAUGGUGGUGGAAAGUUUUUUCGGCGCAGGAUGUGCUCGCGGCCUAUCAGCUUGUUGGUGAGGUAACGGCUCACCAAGGCUUUGACGGGUAACCGGCCUGAGAGGGUGACCGGUCACACUGGGACUGAGACACGGCCCAGACUCCUACGGGAGGCAGCAGUGGGGAAUAUUGGACAAUGGGCGGAAGCCUGAUCCAGCAACGCCGCGUGAGGGAUGACGGCCUUCGGGUUGUAAACCUCCUUCAGUACCGACGAAGCGCAAGUGACGGUAGGUACAGAAGAAGGACCGGCCAACUACGUGCCAGCAGCCGCGGUAAUACGUAGGGUCCGAGCGUUGUCCGGAAUUAUUGGGCGUAAAGGGCUCGUAGGCGGUUUGUCGCGUCGGGAGUGAAAACACCGGGCUUAACUCGGUGCUUGCUUUCGAUACGGGCAGACUAGAGGUAUGCAGGGGAGAAUGGAAUUCCUGGUGUAGCGGUGAAAUGCGCAGAUAUCAGGAGGAACACCGGUGGCGAAGGCGGUUCUCUGGGCAUUACCUGACGCUGAGGAGCGAAAGUGUGGGGAG
rnacentral:rRNA from 1 species